CGUUCCCGGGUCUUGUACACACCGCCCGUCACACCAUGGGAGCGGGUUCUGCCAGAAGUAGGUAGCCUAACCGUAAGGAGGGCGCUUACCACGGCGGGGUUCGUGACUGGGGUG
rnacentral:rRNA from 1 species